CUGGAUCUGAGCACCGGAUAAAAGCUUUUAUUUUUUUCAGUCCACGAACAUGCAGCCAUGUUGAUACAUGGCAUGUAUUUAAAUACAUGCAAACAUACAUGCACAAACAUAUACAUACUGAUGAACAGAGACACACAGACAUACACACAUUGACAGAUACAGACAAACUCACAGUGUGUAGCUAGUGGUGUAUAUUUGUGAUAGAGUGUGUCUGGCUGUGUGUAUCGGUACCUAUAUAUGCAUCUCUGGCGUCUCAUUGGGUGUGUGUGCGUCUGACUUUAUUUCUGUGUGUAUCUGUGACUGUGUCAAUGUGUGUCUGUGGUUUUGAUGUGUGUGUUGUGGUUGAUGGGUAGGCUGUGUUGUAAGUGUGUGAGGGUGACUGUCUGUGGGGGGUGUGCCUGUGUAUGAUAGUGAAUGUGGCUGUGCCAGGGUGACUGUGGAUAUGUGGCAGGGUGUGUAUGACUGGGUGGCUGUGGCAGGUUGAGUGUAACAGGAUGACAGUGAGAGGGGUUUCUGUAAGGGGGCGAGUGUGUAGAGCUCACCAGGUGUGGGGAGAGGCUGUGUUUCUCUGUCCAGUCUCCCUACACACUUUGUCUAUAUAUGUUUAUUUAGUUACUUUUCUGCAGUCCCCCUACUUCUUACCUGAGAGAGGCGAUCAAACCUUGCUCCUAGUGGGCAGUGGGCAGAGCUGCAGGUCUGCACAUUCUGUGCAUGAAGACCACUGGCAAUGCUCCCUUCUGGUCUUUGACAGCAAAAGAGCAUUGGCACUAAUCUGCACUCACUAAAGUUGCAGACUUUCCGCUCCCUUACUGGAGCUACCAGCACAGGGGGCCCUGCAGACACAGCACAAUGCUUGCAGUACUCAUUUAUCUG